rnacentral:rRNA from 1 species
CCUACGGGAGGCAGCAGUGAGGAAUAUUGGUCAAUGGACGAGAGUCUGAACCAGCCAAGUAGCGUGAAGGAUGACUGCCCUAUGGGUUGUAAACUUCUUUUAUAUGGGAAUAAAACAGGGUAUGCAUACCCUCUUGUAUGUACCAUAUGAAUAAGGAUCGGCUAACUCCGUGCCAGCAGCCGCGGUAAUACGGAGGAUCCGAGCGUUAUCCGGAUUUAUUGGGUUUAAAUGGAGCGUAGGUGGAUUGUUAAGUCAGUUGUGAAAGUUUGCGGCUCAACCGUAAAAUUGCAGUUGAAACUGGCAGUCGUGAGUACAGUAGAGGUGGGCGGAAGUCGUGGUGUAGCGGUGAAAUGCUUAGAUAGCACGAAGAACUCCGAUUGCGAAGGCAGCUCACUGGACUGCAACUGACACUGAUGCUCGAAAGUGUGGGUAUCAAACAGGAUUAGAGACCCGAGUAGUC